GGAACGCGUUGCUCUCACGACUCGACUGUCUUCGAACUCGCGGUCUCAUUGGGAUCGUGGUGUUCGUUAUUCUAGUGACAGUGCUUUACUCGUGUUUUUUUUUAUUUAUUCUGCUUUGUCGCGCAUAUAUUUUUUGCUCCUUUUCUUCCCCCUCUUUAGUUACUCUCGGUCGAUUAACCUCUCAGACCUCUCAGACACGUCAUGUAGGUGAUACCUGUCUUAUGCUCAUCAUCACCUAGGAGAUCAUGGAUGGUUUCUGGAUGCUAAUCGUUUAGAGAAGAGGAAAAUAAUAAACUGCUGGUAAUUUCAUCUGUCGAGUGGAGGAGGCUCGUGAUGGACGCUCGUAACAAUGCGGAAAGAAGAGGAGUGGUAGGGGUUGUGUUAGGGCUUGUUGACGGUCGCUUUGAUUUUGUUUUUUAUCCGUGUCACCGGGGAGGUAAUUAACGAAUCGAUUAGCUAUGCGAUCGAGGGUGGAACGAGGUGCUUGAAAAUAUAAGAAGGGGAGUAUUAUGUGCAGGGUUGUUUGAAGGGACCCUUGUGGCUUUCUUGUCAUAAAGUGUUUGUUCUUUGAGAGGUUAGGUUUACUGUGAGCGUUGAAAUAAUUCGACUUUGUAAGUAAUAUACAGUGGAUAAGCCUCGUUUCAUGCCUCCUUGUCGUUUAUUGUUCGAUUUCUCAAUUAUUUCUCAAUUAAUUAUUCAUAUUUAUUAUUUUAAAUUAUUAAAAGUUAUUUUUAUACGUAUACAUGUAUAGAUAUAUGGAUUAUUAUAUCUAUGAUUAUCUUAUGCAUAAGAAAUGCAAAGAUCUCAACAAGAUCCAAAUAUAUUUCAAAUUUUGUCACACGUAAAAUGAGACAGUUGCGCGAAUGAAACAUGAAAAUCUGAAGCUAUAUCUUUCCAAAUAUGUCGAUAUUCUUCUGGAAAUCGACACAAGGAAUCGACGGACGUCCCAAGAGUAAAACUAGGUGACGAACCGAGGGUCUCCGUGUCAUUUAUUUUCAGGGAACGGGGUCGAGCUCGAAAAUUCUGAAAAAUUAUUCCUCCCAGCGGGCGUGCGUCGCGGAUUUUUAAAUAUUCCAUACGUCAUCGCGGCAUACGAGGCAACGUUUUCGAAUGCGAAAGGGAAAUACGCGUCCCUGCACCGCCAUCGUCCGGUAAAAUAAUAAACGAUCCAUCUGUAAAUGAAACAUUCAGAAGGGCAACGAUGAAUGCAAGUUAUAGAGUGUCCCUGAGAAAAGUGCUCCCUCUAACUUUUCUCUAAGUUUUCUCUAACUUUUCUUUUUUGUUUUUCAUUUCUUUUAUCCGUUGUAUAAAUUUUCUCAAUUUUUAGAGAGACAAAUACUUUUAAGGUAAAAAAAAUGAGAAAAAUUGAAGAUAAACAGACAAGUUCAUUGACCAAGUUCAAAUUCAUUCAAGAUCAUACAUAAUUAUCUAAAAUAUUAUAAUAGCUAGAGAAUAAUUCAUAAUUCGAAUAUGUUUCACUUUAUUUUUCUCUAUUUCUCAUUAUAAGAAAUUUAUCUUUUUCCAAAGACAUUUUGCAUAAUUCACAGGUUAUAUUUACAUCUGACUUUGUCUUCCCUUUUUCUUUUUUUAUUCACAAAACAUUGGAAUCCUGUCGUGUAAAAUAAAGGAUUACGAACAAGUUACGUGAAACGGUCGUGAAUAUGUAACGUAUGUAAAUCACACGAGUCGCAUAAUAACGCUUCCUCUUUUUCCUUAUUCUCACCUUCGCAAGUUUUUUCCUUCGUCUAACUUCUUCGUAUCUUUCAUCCUUGCUCUAGCUCCAAGACUGUUUUUAUGAUUGCUGUUUCAUCUGCAUGGUGGCGCAAGUGUGCCCCAGUUGCUCGCAGUUCGACAAAACUAUCGAAGUUGGUGUGACGUCGUAUGCGAUUUUGAUCGUGCAGAAGACAAGUAAAUUCAAUAUUUGCAUACGUCCUCUCCUCCAUUACGUAUAUUUAUCUUAUCACGAUAUUCUCAUGUGAAACUACGAAUUGUGUCAAAAUAUCGUGGAAUUUAACCUAACCUAGUUAAUUCUCUCUUGAUUUUUGUCCUAACAAAAUCGUGCAAUAUACACGAUUACGACAAGCCACAGAAACUCGCCAACAAAUAUUUCCAGAGAGAGACUUUCGUGACAGAGGUAUAUUCAGAUAAUAGGACGUAAGGUUUUCUAAUGAUUGGGGAUACUUGUUAGUCGGUGCUCGUUAGAAGCGCAGCUUUGUCAAAGAGCCGAACGAAGACGCUAAUUACAGAGAGGGCUACUUCCUGGCUACGUUUGCGUCUCCUUCACGAAACACAGGUCAGAUGAUCACACCGCAAGAAGGCAACUAGCACCACUAACUGGACGCUGGCCAGUUUCCUGCCGUACCUUCAAGGGACAUACAUCAAAGACGAACGUGGAUUUCAUACGAAUUUUUCUUCUCUUUUGACGUUUCCAGAUAUUAAAGCAACAACGUUGUUACAAGAUAAAUUAAUACUAUCCUUAUGAUUAUGAUAAUAUUAUUUGAAAUUUAACAGAACAUUUAUUUUAAUAUAAAGAAAACCAUAAUCAAAAACUCUUGUUGCAGAGAGUCACAGAGAGCAAACUGUUCUAGUGUAAUUUAAAUAAAAAUCGUCUCGGAAGUGUAUUUAUAGAGUAAUCUCACAAUCAAUGUCCGCGUUCAGAGGCAGAUAUCGCGACAGAGAAGCCCUGUUCACCCAUAAACCAUAUAUAAUUACAAUAUUCGAGAUUUUCUCGUUCGUUUUUCUCGAUAGCUGUACGGCAACUUCAUCGCCAACUUCCGCGACGAUGUAAUGAGAGGAUCGAGGAGUAUCAUGGUCGCGGAUAUCCAUUGGGUGAUAAUGGGAAUUGAAGCGAGAUGAAAUCGUUCAACUUCUUGCGCUAUACUAGCCUCAAUGAUGGUAGUUGGAUACGUGGUGAAAAAGAUAGAUACGAGGUCAUGAACCGAAGCGCUACACGGGGACACUAAUUAAUUUAACCGUACCUAGGAUCAUAUGCAUCUCGUAUUCAAGCAUCAUGUAUAGGCUCUGAAGUCAUCGAAGUUUUUUUAGCCUACUUUCAUGAUUGAAUUAUUCUUAUUGAUUCGUGGAGCGGAGACAAUAAACACUUUAUAUUUUUAUCUUGUUUUAAAAUUAUAAUUUCUUCUAAAAUGUAUUAUUCACAUUUUUACGAUGAAAAUGAUUUUAUUAACUAGAAUUAAAUUUCUAAAUUAAUCAAAUUCAUGACCAUUCUAAAAAUCUAACCUAUAAAUGUAUAAAUCUAUAAUAUGAUGAAAUAUGUGAUGUUGUUUUAAUAUAAUUAAAUUAGUAUUUGAAACUUUUGUUAAAUAUAAUUUAAAGAAAACAGAAUCCUAUAAAUAUGGUUUGUCAUAGUUUGUCAAUUAUGUUAAUAUACAUGUAUAUAUUGGUAUACAUAUAUUAUCUUCGCCAUUUUCUCGUAUUUCUUUCAGUUCGUUUUAAGGGCAAAAUGCAUGUAUGUAUGUUGGAAAAGUAGUGAGACUUUGAAAGAGGAAGUUAUUCGCGCGGUUAUAGAGGAGGACCGGCUUUGAGCGACGAGCCUAACGAAGUGAGACAUUCAGAUGGUCACUUGAUGCUUUCACCAUACUCGUGCUAUUACGCAGUAACAACGAGCAACCUCCAUAAAGGUAAUGACACCGUAACUACCGUCUUGUUAGCGCAGCAAGCGACGGCAUAGUUUUACGUCGAUCCAAACCACUGUGCAUGAUAUUCCGUGGACUACGCCUUGGGCUGUUUAUGAAAAGGGUCUUUUCCGGUGUACAAUCUUAACUUUCGGUUAAAUUCUUUGGCACUGUUUUCAAUAUUCUUUUCGAGUCAUAUUGUUUGCUUACUUUACCUCAUACCUGAAAUAAUAUAUUUUAUUUUUGAUUUUAAAAAAUAUUCGAAUGAAAAUCUUUAUUUUGUUUUUAUCUUAUUUUUGAAUCAUUGUUUUAAAGAUUCUUUAUGUUGACAAUAAAAAUAUAAAAAAAAUAAGCGAAUAAAAUUUAUAGGUAGUUGAAAUAGAGAUUAAUUUAUUUCUAUUUCUGUCCUAAAAGAAUGAGACUUCCAAUCAUAUUAAAUAUUUUGAUUUGUAAUCAUUGUCUUUCGAUUAUUUAUCCCUCGUGUUUCUCUCCACUCACAAAUUCUUAAGAUGUAAUGUAUUCUUCGAGAUGGGGAAUUGGUUGAAAAUAUUAUCUUGUACUAAUGUAUUUUUUCAAAGAGGUUGAGACACGGUCGUGGAAACAGCAUGGACCGACAAGAUAGAAAGAUACUUGUACCAUUCGCAGCAGGAUAUUCCAAGAAUUAUGUCGCUUAAUUCUUCAUAUUUUUCUCAUCUUUUCUACAUAUUAUACGUUUUUGUUUCCUACGAUAAUCCCUACAUUUCCUAUCAUUUUGACAUGUAAACAAGACACAAAAUUGUUGAGAAUUUACUUUAAUUACCCAACCCAAGGGUCUAAACCAAAAAAAAAAAAAAAUCUUACAUACUGCUGGAAUAUUUACAUCAUGCCACGACGACGUUAAAAUAACCACAAAACUAACAUUCCUCUCAUCGUCAUUUUUUUUCAACAUUAUCAAACCAUUCUAAAAUCGAGCCUCUUGAAAUUCGAAAUUUCUCAUAUCCUUUUUAUAACCUUAUUAUUGGAUAAAAGUCGUAAAGAAAUUCAAAUCAAAAUGAUCCUAACCUAUUUCUGAUCCAUUACCAUCGAAAUACGGUUCAAGGAAGCGAUAUUUCCGACCAUGGUCAAAAGAGAUUCUUCUCAAAAAACGAAAUUAAAAAUGUCUAUGCGAUGGUCGAUCUUCGGAUAUUUACCGGAGCGAGGAGAGCGUAAAAGGAAUCAGCAGUUGAAGAUCGUCUCUUUGCAGUAUAGGUUAGGGUGGUGUGCACGCGCGCGCGGGUUUCCCGCUUGUAUUACACAUUCUCUCUGCGUGGAGUAGAUUUUAAAAAGCCUCUCUGAUAGGGGCCGGCACUGGGGAAUCUUUAUUUAUGAAGUCAAGCACCAUACGACACUUUACUGGAUCCACCGUAUCCUUUUACGCUGGUGUGGAGACCGACAUCUCUUUGCGCAUGCGCGUCUCAUGUACGUAAAAGAUGAACAGAAAUAUCUUCGAAAGGAAGACGGAGAGACAAGUCUAUCAAGUUCCAGUUUCUACGACUAGGUUACGUUUGGUUUAAGAUAUAUGAAUCGAAUGUACUGGAUGUAAAGAAUAAAUUGUCCAGGAAAUGGAGAUAUUUUAAAAAAUGUAUAAUUUUCGAGUUAAUCUUGAUAAUUUUUUCACGUUACAUAAAAAUAUAUACAAAUCGGUUUAAUUAAAGAAAA